GGAGGCCCGCUCACGCCAUGGCCGGCCGGCCGGGCCGCCGCCGCUGCUGCCUCCUCACCGCCCAGGGCCUGUGCGUCUGUCAGCGCUCAGCCUGGUUUUCGCUUUUCUUUCUGGUGGCAACUCCCUUUGGUCUUUUGUAUAUUUGAUACAAAUGUUUGGCGAAACCACAGAAGGUUCCGAACUUUCUGGCUUCAGGGCCCCUCGGGCUCCUCCUUUGAGCCCUUAUUCCCCCCAUCCAGGUUACCGUUCAUUCAGUGCUGAUACCCUUGUUCUUGCCAAAGGAACUGUGCUCCUCGUCAUAGAAAUCGUGCUCCAUUCAGUUAUUGUCUAGAAGAGCCCUAAGGAGAAACGUGGAGUUAGGGCAGAAUACUAAGACCUAACUUGCUAUCUUGUCUGGAGUCAUAUGGUGACUCUGCAACUUGAUGGAUGACGACAACCCUUUUCCAUCAAAAAAUAAUUCAAAAAUGGCAGAACUCUUUAUGGAAUGUGAAGAAGAAGAGCUAGAACCAUGGCAGAAGAAAGUAGAAGAAAUUCUGGAUGAAGACGAUGAUGAGCUGAUCUUUGUUGGAGAGAUAUCAAGUUCAAAACCAGCCAUUUCAAAUAUUUUGAACAGAGGUAACCCCGGCUCAUCUUCAAAGGGAAUAAAGAAUGAGACACUCACUCAAGGUGUUACUGAUACAUUCAAGCCUACGAGUCAACACUACAAAGAUCCAACAUCAAAUCCAGUGGCUGCCUUGCCUAGAUUUCAUCCUGAAUCUAAAUCUUCACAAAGCUCUGUUAUUGUUCAGAACGUGUCUAAACCUGAUUUUACAAAGAAUUUAUCACAAGUUGAAUCGGAUGAUUCUUCAGAUUUACUGUUUGACUUGACCCAGGAUACAAUUCCACUGUCCCAGGAGGGACCAACAAUUUAUAUAGAAGGUAUAGAUGAAACUCUGCCUAUAAUAAAACGUUCUUCUACUUCUAAAGUAAACAGUGUUAAUCCAAAAAAGCCAAAGACCAGUGAAAGUGGUUCUGACAUAAGUCCUUGUGCUUCGUUGUCCUUAACUAACUCUCCUUCGGUGGCAUCUUCCCAUGUUAUGAUAUCAAAAGGUACAAAUACCUCAUCACCUCACUAUAAAACUGGAGCGCCUUUUCUAAGAUCUUGUCCGAGGUGCAAUGUAAAGUUUAAUCUUUUGGAUCCCUUGAAAUAUCACAUGAAGCGUUGUUGUCCAGACAUGGUGAAUAAAUUCUUGGAAAUGAUUAAAGCAGAACUUAUAAAUACUGAAAAUAAAAAUAAGACUGGUGCAGAAAAAGGAAAAUUAAUUAUGUUAGUUAGUGACUUUUACUAUGGAAGACACGAGGGAGCUGUCGAUGAUGAACAGAAGACUUACACAACUUUUAAAUGCUUCAGUUGCUUGAAAGUUCUUAAAAAUAAUAUUAGGUUUAUGAACCACAUGAAACACCAUCUGGAACUUGAGAAGCAGAACAGCGAGAGCUGGGAAAACCAUACUACCUGCCAGCACUGCUACCGUCAGUAUCCCACACCGUUCCAGUUGCAGUGUCACAUCGAGAGCACACACACUCCGCAUGAGUUUUCUACUAUUUGCAAAAUCUGUGAAUUAUCAUUUGAAACCGAACAUGCUCUUUUGCAACAUAUGAAGGACACUCAUAAACCCGGUGAAAUGCCAUAUAUUUGCCAGGUUUGCCAGUUUAGAUCUUCAACAUUUUCUGAUGUAGAGAAUCAUUUUAGAGCAUCCCAUGAAAACACUAAGAACUUGCUGUGUCCAUUUUGCCUCAAAGUUAGUAAAAUGGCAACUCCCUACAUGAAUCAUUACAUGAAGCAUCAGAAAAAAGGAGUUCAUCGUUGUACCAAGUGCAGACUACAAUUUUUGACCUGCAAAGAGAAACUGGAUCACAAGACCCAGCAUCGGACAUUUAUAAAGCCUAAAGAGCUAGAAGGAUUGCCUCCUGGUACAAAAGUUACUAUUCGAGCCUCAAUUGGACCUCUUCAUUCAAAACCAGUAACUACAUCUCCCAGUAGCAGUGUUCCAAGCACUUCUUCUUUUCAAAUCUCACCUCCAAGGUCUAAAAGUACAACUGCUAAAAAUAUAAAAUCUACUACAAGUAAAUCCAAGACAAGUAAGCCUCAUGCAGCUGUAUCCAGUGCAAGUAAACCUCAUGCCAAAAGGCAAGGUAGAGUUGCAUCUAAAUAUAAGACCAAAAAAACCUCUUGUAAACAAAAGAAACAACGCAACAGAAAGAAUAAAAUCAGCAUAGCUUUGAAGAACUUAAGGUGCCGUCGGGGAAUUCACAAGUGCAUUGAGUGUCAUUCCAAAAUAAAAGAUUUUGCAAGCCACUUUUCAAUAUAUAUCCACUGUAAUUUUUGCAAAUACAACACUAACUGUAACAAAGCCUUUAUAAAUCAUAUGGUGAGCUCUCAUAGCAACCAUCCAAGUAAACGGUUUUAUAUUUUUAAGAAGCAUUCUGGAAUUCUCAGGGGCAUUACUCUAGUGUGCCUUAAAUGUGACUUCCUAACUGAUUCUUCUGGCUUAGAUCGUAUGGCUAAACACCUAAGUCAGCGUAAAACUCAUACUUGCCAAGUUGUAAUAGAGAAUGUUCCUGAAAGUACCUCAACUUCUGAACCCUCGUCUGAGUUCUGGAAAAACAGACUGAAAUCUCUUCCCUGGUGGAGCUUAUAUUUCAGUGGCGGAAGACAAGACAAUAAAAAAUAAGAAAUUUAUAUAGUAUGUUAGAUGAUGAUCAAUGCAACGGAGCAAAAUAAAGUGGGCAAGGAGGAUGUUUCAGGUGUCUAAGUGCCGAGACUGGGACCAGGAUUAGCUCCUUCAGAUGGGCUUCCAACCCAGGAAAUGGGGAAGACUCAAGGGUGUAGCUCUGAAAAGUGAAGACGAUCUGUAGAGGAGACCUACUGGCUAUCAUGGAUCAUUCCAGAGACAUAGUGAGACUGCAUGAGAGGCCUGGAAACACCUCACUUCACUUGAUUCUCCCUGCUCCUCACCACCCUCAACAGCAACAAGGGUGUCAUGAUUCUCUGGCCUCCUUAGUCCCCUUCCUCUGGUGGCAUUCUGGGAUCAGCCCAUUCCCAAAUCCUUUUGCUCCUUCUGAUGGAGGCUUGAGUGCCAUUGUGCCACCCUGCUGAUGCUAGCAGCAAGCUCUAGGGCCAGGAGACUGGGCGGAGCCUGGAGGUUCUCAGGAUUCCCGGGGUCACAGUGGGAAGCCCCAGGACUUCUUGGCUGUUCCCAGGCACCUGAGGGAGAACAAUGUCAUUACUGCAGGAAAGGACAGGAUCAUGCAGGUGAGGCUCAGAGGACAGAGGCAGGUAGGAUUAGUGAGCACCUUCUACUCAAAGCAAAAUUACCAGAGCCUUGGCAGGACCAAAAGAUGAUAGUCUUGGGGAAGUUCAGAGUCUGAUUUUUAAGACGGGGGGCAGCCAGUAUGGAAAUGACAGUCCUAAGGCCCACAUUCAGGAGUCAUCCAGGAAAGGUGUCUAUUCCUCUCAGAAGAGCUAAGGAAAGUAGAGGCUUUUCGCUCUUGCUGGUCAGCAAGCCUGCUGAAUCUUACCAAAGGCUAUUGAGUCUAGGUGAUGAUAAAACCUUCCACUCGCUUCCCACUGCACUUAAAUAAAACUCCAGCCCAACAGACCUGGCCUCACCUACUUCUCAGCCUCAUCGCCCACAUGCUCUCCCUUGCACCCACUAGCCUCCUUUCUGUUUCUCAAGCACACCAACCUCACUUCUGCCUCAGGGCCUUGGCAUUUGCUGUUUCUUCAGCCUGGAGUUCUCGUUCUGACCUCAUACCUGGUUGCUCCUCUCCAUUCGGGUCUCAGCCCAAAUGUUACCUCUUCAAAGAUACCUGUUGUGAUCACUGUAUCUAAUAUGUUGCCCUCCCCCCACCUCCCUCACUUUCCAUCCAUUUACCCUGUUUUAUGACCCUGAGAGUCCUUAUUGCUCUCAAAUUCUCUCAUUAUGUAUCUCACUUCUUGUAUAGUGUCUAUCUCCUUUGUGAGAGCAGGAUUUAAAUUGUUCACCUGCAUUAUCCCCAGGGCUUAGCACAGUGGCUCAUAGUAGAUGCUCAGUAAAUAUUUGUUGAAUGACUGAAAGGUGUCAGAGGCAAUUCCGGUCUAGAAGAGGCAAUCCUGAUUAGAGGACUCAGAAUGUUGUUAUCUUGACCCUGUUACGGCAGAGAAGGACCCUGAACAAGACAGGCCAAGACCCAGACUGAAAUGUAACCAUCAGAAUGGAUAAGUGUACCUGCAGCAACUGAGAGAUGGCCCAGCCCUGCAGCCAAGUCAAGAGCCAAAAGACACCACACAACAGCAGGUCGUGUCCUGGUGCUCUUGACAUUUCUCCAGCCAAACUUGUAAGCAGCCUUUUUCUGCAUCAGAUCACUUGUCACCAUGGUCGUCGUCGUCGUCAUCAUCAUCAUCAUCAUCAUCAAAAGGCAGUAUUGAGCCACCAAAACUACAGUCUGGCAUCCUACGUAUCUCCCAAGGCAAUUUCAGAAAAAACAUUCGACUUUGGUUACACAGAAAAUGUAAGUCCUUGAACAUUGAUUUGCUUCUGAAAGCAGAGAGAGAAAAGAUUUUCACUUUUCCACCUCUCCAGUGCUCUGAGCAGAAAGAAAGAGCAGGCCAGGAAAGGUAUGGAGGUCAAUGGGAAGAGAGCAGGUAUAGCACAAGAAUAUCAUUACCACUUGGCUCCUGAUCCCCACCUCCACCCUCCACUAGUCCUAACUCUUGCCUCUGAGUAAGGCUGAAUCCCUACCAGCCCUCAGGCAUGUGGCAGAUGCUUUAACACCAUGAGCUCAGAACUCUAAAAAUACCUGCCACCAGCAGGAACACGGGUGGGAGUGUGUGAGGUGUUUGGGGCUGAGUGGGUUGGCUGUUUGGCUUUUCUUUGCCUUCAGAAUUGUAUACACCAUCCAAACUGCCAGAGCUGCAGGGAGGAUCCUUCCUGCUGUAGACCUCCUUGCCUUUCCAGUGCCACGGGGAGCCUUGAAGCUUUUAUUUGGAGGCUCAGAAUUUAAAGUGUAGCACUGCUCCCAUUGCAGCUUUUUAUAAACCCCACUCUAAGUUCUUUGCACCCCCGUCAAUGGCAAGCGGUGAGUCCGGAAGCAGGCUGCUCAUAGCACAAAGUCAGAAUGGAUGGUGUGGCCUCAGAGCCAUCACAAAGGGAGAGCGCAGCAGUCAGUUCACUGCACACAAAUGACCUCAUUCUGUUUGGGAGUUUGGUGUCCCUGUUCUUAGCAUCCUCACAAACCCCUGAUCCCUGCCAGACAGCGAAAGUAUCUCCUCCCGCUUUCCAGCUGGCACUCCUCUCAUCCAUUCUUCCCUUUCUGUGGGCACCGCAUCCACACGGUAGCCAGGUGUGCUGGCUGCUUCCUAGCCACAUACAUGCUCCCCAGAUCCUCUUUUCUCUCCCAGGGCUAGUGAGGGCAUCGUGGAGUCAACCAACCUGGGUGCAAACCUCAACAGGAUCAUGUACUAAUCAGGUGCUCUUAGGUGAGUUACUUACUCUGUCUUCAGUGUCCUCCCCUGGAAGCUAAAGAUAACCUCAGCCAUCUCCGUGGGGAUGCUGUGAGGAUUAGCAUUCCUCAUGAGUACACGACACAGCGCCUAAUACGUACUCUCCCUUCCUCCCUGGCCCCAAACUUCCACCAUCAAGUCUGGUCCAACAGCUAAUUGAGCGGGUGCUAUCAGAGAUGCAGCAGCAGUAGGCAUGGCAUUGAGAGACCUGGGUUCCAGCUCCUCUACUUAGUAGCAGAGUAAAUGACGAGGCAGAUUAACACACGAGAAAGAGCUUUUGCAAAAUAGAAGUACUCUGUAAGUGCUGGCUGUUGCCAUUGUCUCAGAGGGCCCAUCGGCUGUCCUGGUAGCACUGUUCCCUGGAUGCACUGGUUCUCCUCCUGGAAAGCACAGAAAGCCUGGCUUCUUGAUGAUGGCAUGGAGCCAAGGCCAAGGCAGUCAGUGGGGAGGGGGAAAGAAAGCAAUGCCAGCAAUGUGCCACAGGCGGCUGGGGGCAGGCCCAGAGUGACAGGGGUGUUGGAGGAGGCUCCAGGGGCACAGUGUGGAGAGCUGCCGAAGAGAAAUCUAGGCUUUUAAACCAUUAUCCUGGGGCUGCCGCUGCCUGAGCAAGCUUCAGCAAGUCCCCCACCCCUGCACGUGCUCCUAGCUCACACGGGUAUUUCUUUUCCCUCUGGAACAUAUCUGGCAUCUUUCUAUAGAUGAGGAGUGAAUGUCCUUUUGUUGGAGGCCGGCGGGGGAGGGUAGAAGUAGAAAAAGGGAGACAGAUACAUCUGUAACCUUUGGAGGAUGCCCAAGUGGAUGAUGGGAAAAGUCGAAAACAAAUCUUUUUUCAUUUAGCUGGACUGUCCCAUCUGCACCUAAGAUACACACACAGUCACACACAAGGCUGACACAGAGAAUGGCAAAGGAGGACAGAGACAAAGAGAAACGCACACACAGAAAGAGAGGCAGCAAGGCAGGCAGAGAAACACACACUGAUGGAUAAUUAGCCAUUAAGUGAACUGGCAUAAGAUGGAAGUUCAGAAGCCCUAAGGAAGACAUGAUGUCAUUCUGACUGCAGGCAGCUUCUGAGGGAACACUGAGCUCAGCCUCUGUCCCCUCAGUAAUAUAACACAGGAAGGUGUCUGUCCAAGUGCUCAGCAGAGGAAGAGAGUCCACAGUCCUGGGUGACACCUGCCCACAGACGCAGCUGACCUGCAGUUUGCCUGGUCGGGAGGGCUGGGGCAGAGGGGUACCAGCUGUUGGGGGAGCUAAACGAGACAGGAGCAGGGGUGCUUCCAUGAGAAUUUACAAAGAAUGGCUCAAAAAUUAGUUCUGAGCCUCUCCUCUCUUACCUCCCUCAUCCCACCCCUCACACACUAUUUGGCACUUUCCAGUGCUUUUAGACUGAGGCAGGCUUAAUAUGAUUUAGCUAAACCUGUAGGAGAUGGACACAUCAUGUCAUUAAGGAAAGCUCCACCCUUCCUUUAGGAUCAAGAAGGCCUCCACACUUCCUAGGCUGAUGUCAUGAAGGGCCGUCAGCUUUCCCAUAUGACGCCCCUCUGUAUCCCUGUCACAGGUAACUGCGUGGGUUGGGUGCACCAUGGGACCAGCCCAAAUUGCUAGGGAAGAGCACCCACAAGGGAAUUGGGAAACCUGAGUGGAAGGCCUGUCCCUGUGUGAUCUUGUCACUUUCCCUCUCCAAGCCUCGGUUUCCUAUCUGUUAAAUGAGCACAUUGGAUUAGAGAUCUUUAAGGUCUCUUCCAUCUCUGAACAUUCUCGGGUUCUCACAUCCAAAGGGAGACAGUCAAGAUGCAAAAAGUAAAACCUAGGUACUCAGCUCAGUGUCUGGGGUGCAGUUGAAGGAGACAUCUUGCAGGCUCCUAAGUUCCAGGGCUCUAACCCUGGACCCCUUGGCCUAGAAGAGACCACAAGGCCAGCUGUCCAGCCUGCCAUCUCCCGCUGAGCACACUCCCCACCUCCCCACCCCCCAGGCUAGAAAUUGCCCCCUAGAGCAGAGAGUGGUGUUAAACAGCUUGGGCUUUGAAUCCACAUUGAAGUUCUGACCCUGUCACAGAGAACUCAGGAUAGUGAGAGAGACAAGUGGUUGGGCUCAAGGCUCAAAGACUGAAGCUCAGAUCCAUGCGCCUCUGGGCAAGUUAUUUAAUCUCUCUAACUUUGGUCUCCUUAUCUAUUGAAUAGGAAUGAUAAUAAUAGUCCAAAUUGCAUAGGGCUGCUGUGAAGAUCAGAUAAGAUAGUGCCUGUAAAGCACCUAACCCAGGCUCUUGGUUUAGUCAAAAUGUAUAAGUUGUUGUUGUUGUUGUUGUUAUUAUUAUUAUUAUUGCCUACUCAUUGGAAGCUUUUCUUGAUGUUCAUGUGAACCAGGAAACACUGGAUUAUAAAUUCUGUGAUGGGGAGGGGGUGGGACACAUUGAUUGGAAACACCAAAUGGGGCUUCAAAGCCCUAGAGAUGGCCCUUGUAAUUAAGAGAGUAGCCCUAAAUUUGAGAACUCAGUCACCCCCCUGCAGGGGUUGAUGUAUGUGCUACCUUGGGACACAGGGAGGCUGCCCAGGAGAGGCCACACCCUACCCCUGGACUGAGAGAAGAGUUGCAGAGACCUCUCUGCCAUCCUCCUGUGAGGCUGGCAUCUGUUGCCUGACGGCCUUCUAUUGCUGGCUGUGGCCUGGGGCCACUUCAGCCUGUCACAUUGGACUUCUCUCCCUCCCCCAAAGGGAGAAGCCUUUGGCAGUCACCUCCUAGCAUGGAUUUGGCAUUUGCUCCUUGAAAAACUCCAGGCCAGCCGGAGCGUGGGGCAAAAUCUCCUCCCAUCUAGAUCAUGUGCUAGCUGCCUUGCUCUGCCAUCUUCCCACAGACAUGCUGGUCUCGCCUGCUGCCUUUGGCCCUGAGGUUGCAGCAGCUCUACAAGAGGCAGGGUCACUAUCUCCCCACUCCCACACCCCACCCUGGGCUCCUUCGGAAUCUGCACUCGGAGGGCUCCUCUAUGAACAGUGUCACAAGGCUUUGCCCUCUCAAAAAUAUCAUCUUCCCAAAAAAGCCUGUAUUAAGCACUUAUCGGCACAUGGUGUUGUGCUGAGCUCUGUUUCUAGUGAGUCACACUGUCACAGGCUCUGCCCUCUGGGAAAAAGUCUGGAAUCUUUGGCAAAGACUGUAAACUCCAGUUUAGCUAAGUACUUGGUUGUUAGGAAGGAAGGAGUCUUUUAAAAAUGUCCCCAAGGCCAUUGGGCAGUGACCCUCUUCUACUUGUUUUCACCUCCCUUUUCCCACUUCUGGCUUUCUCCUCUCCUCUCCUCCUGUUCUCUCUCCUUCCUCCUGCCCCAAACUCCCAAACACUUUCUUUCUCCUCCAUCUGAAUUUCAGGUGGACUUAUUCUCCCUCUUUUAAAUCCAGAGAAUUCUUUGGCUCAAUGUGACACUUGAUUUUAAGCAAGCAAUAACAUUAAAUUUUAAGGUCUUUGAGGGUUUAAGAACACAUCCAUAAGUAUAUUUCUACUUUAGAUAUAAAAAGGCAUGUUUCAGGGCGCGCCUGGGUGGCUCAGUUGGUUAAGCGCCUGACUUCAGCUCAGGCCAUGAUCUCAUGGGUUCAUGACUUUGAGCCCCACAUUGGUAUCUGCUGACGGUAUGGAGCCUGCUUGGGAUUUUCUCUCUCUGCCCCUCCCCCACUUCUCUCUCUCUCUCUCUCUCUCUCUCUCUCUCUCUCCCUCCCUCCCUCCCUCCCUCCCUCCCUCUCUCUCUCUCUCUGUAUCUCAAAAUAAAUAAACUUUAAAAAGAAUAGGGGUGCCUGUGUGGCUCAGUUGGUUGAGCAUCCAACUUCGGCUCAAGUCAUGAUCUUGCGGUUUGUGGGUGGGUUUGAGCCCCACACCAGGCUCACUGGUGUCAGCACAUAGCCCACUUCGGAUCCUCUGUCCCGCUGUCUCUCUGUCCCUCCCUCUCCCUCUCUCUCAAAAAUAAAUACACAUUUUUUUUUAAUGAAAAUAAUAAAAUAAAAGGCCAUGUUUCAGAAAUUCCAAAAUCUUUUUUUUUAGCUUUUUUUAAUGUUUAUUUAUUUUUGAGAGAGAACUCAAGCAGGAGAGGGGCAAAGAGAGAGAGGGACACAGAAUCUGAAGCAGGCUCCAGGCUCUGAGCUGUCAGCACAGAGCCUGACAUGGGGCUCAAACCCACGAACUGCAAGAUCAUGACCUGAACCAAAGUCAGACACCCAACUGAUUGAGCCACCCUGGUGCCCAGAAAUUCCAGAAUCUUACAACCUUACAUUAAAGAAGUCAGACACACUAGAGAACGUCCUAACCAAGCAAACGUCAAUAUACGAGCCCUAGAAAAAAGAUACAGACAGCUACUUUGACUUUAAAAAGGAAAUGUAGCAAUUCCCCCCCAAAAUGCAAGGGACAAACAAGGUCUCUAUUUCAAAACAGUGCCCCAUCUUCCUGACCCUGGGGCUCAGUUGCUCUCCAGAGCUCUCCCUUACCAGUACCUAGCUGCCCAUCUUCCUGACAUCCAGUGCCUCGGCCCAGUUUCCGAAGCCAUUUUAAAACACAUUCAUUUUAAUAAUCAAGGAAUCUGGAGUUGUGCACAGUUUAGUGUUUCAUCAUUCUCCCCCGUUACUCAGCCCUUCUCUCCACAUCACUCAGAAGAGGCACCUUGGGGUCAUUUGGGCCCCUGACCAGCAAGAGGGAAAUUGACCUCCACCCAACAGCCAGCGUCAGACCAUAGGCUCAAGUAAAACCCAGCUGUGGAUCCAGUAGAGUUGGUAUUUAGUGCCCAGGGCCUUUUGAGGUGCAUUCCUGCCCAUAAUCCUGCCCCCUCUGAUCCCCUGACACAUGAAGCUGCCCUUGCCAUGUCCUCCCUCUGCACCUAGAAAUGUAUCUGUCCUGUCGAGUUUCUACGUUUUCUGAACCAGCGUGAGCACAAAUGGUCAGAUGAGAAUAUCUGUACUUAGCCAAUUUGAUAAAUAAGCUAAUGGGGGUGGGGGUGGGGAGGAGCAAGACACUUUCCUUGGCCCUCAGAUAAGUUGCUCUGCAUUUUUACAAGGGCCUGCUGAAGACAAUACCAACAGAAUGAGUAAUGAGGUAGUUCAUUCAUUAGGUAUCCCAGACAAAUAAACAAGAUACCAUUUGAGAGGAGACUGUUCCAAAAGAACAAGUUUGUUAUGAAGGGCUGGCGGGUGACCCUGCCUCAAUUGCUUUAAAAGGGCUCAUGGCUUUGUGCCGGAACCACCCCACUUCACCCCUGUUCCACCUCAGUCCUGAUCCUAACCAUAAACUGUAGUUUAAAAUAAAGCGGUUUUCAUUCA